rnacentral:rRNA from 1 species
GAUGAACGCUGGCGGCGUGCCUAAUACAUGCAAGUCGAGCGAACGGACGAGAAGCUUGCUUCUCUGAUGUUAGCGGCGGACGGGUGAGUAACACGUGGAUAACCUACCUAUAAGACUGGGAUAACUUCGGGAAACCGGAGCUAAUACCGGAUAAUAUUUUGAACCGCAUGGUUCAAAAGUAAAAGACGGUCUUGCUGUCACUUAUAGAUGGAUCCGCGCUGCAUUAGCUAGUUGGUAAGGUAACGGCUUACCAAGGCAACGAUGCAUAGCCGACCUGAGAGGGUGAUCGGCCACACUGGAACUGAGACACGGUCCAGACUCCUACGGGAGGCAGCAGUAGGGAAUCUUCCGCAAUGGGCGAAAGCCUGACGGAGCAACGCCGCGUGAGUGAUGAAGGUCUUCGGAUCGUAAAACUCUGUUAUUAGGGAAGAACAUAUGUGUAAGUAACUGUGCACAUCUUGACGGUACCUAAUCAGAAAGCCACGGCUAACUACGUGCCAGCAGCCGCGGUAAUACGUAGGUGGCAAGCGUUAUCCGGAAUUAUUGGGCGUAAAGCGCGCGUAGGCGAUUUUUUAAGUCUGAUGUGAAAGCCCACGGCUCAACCGUGGAGGGUCAUUGGAAACUGGAAAACUUGAGUGCAGAAGAGGAAAGUGGAAUUCCAUGUGUAGCGGUGAAAUGCGCAGAGAUAUGGAGGAACACCAGUGGCGAAGGCGACUUUCUGGUCUGUAACUGACGCUGAUGUGCGAAAGCGUGGGGAUCAAACAGGAUUAGAUACCCUGGUAGUCCACGCCGUAAACGAUGAGUGCUAAGUGUUAGGGGGUUUCCGCCCCUUAGUGCUGCAGCUAACGCAUUAAGCACUCCGCCUGGGGAGUACGACCGCAAGGUUGAAACUCAAAGGAAUUGACGGGGACCCGCACAAGCGGUGGAGCAUGUGGUUUAAUUCGAAGCAACGCGAAGAACCUUACCAAAUCUUGACAUCCUUUGACAACUCUAGAGAUAGAGCCUUCCUCUUCGGGGGACAAAGUGACAGGUGGUGCAUGGUUGUCGUCAGCUCGUGUCGUGAGAUGUUGGGUUAAGUCCCGCAACGAGCGCAACCCUUAAGCUUAGUUGCCAUCAUUAAGUUGGGCACUCUAAGUUGACUGCCGGUGACAAACCGGAGGAAGGUGGGGAUGACGUCAAAUCAUCAUGCCCCUUAUGAUUUGGGCUACACACGUGCUACAAUGGACAAUACAAAGGGCAGCGAAACCGCGAGGUCAAGCAAAUCCCAUAAAGUUGUUCUCAGUUCGGAUUGUAGUCUGCAACUCGACUACAUGAAGCUGGAAUCGCUAGUAAUCGUAGAUCAGCAUGCUACGGUGAAUACGUUCCCGGGUCU